GGUCAGAGAGAUCAAGCUGCUUCUCAUACUUGGCCCAGGAUACGGGCUGCGUCUAGGACUGUUGCGGUGUUACCACCAUAUUACCGCCACACUGGUAGUCAUGAGUCAUAACCGCAGUGAAAUUCCAAUUACAUUUACAUUUAAGUCAUUUAGCAGACGCUCUUAUCCAGAGCGACUUACAAUUGACAGUUGAUUCACGGUAAUCUCCUUUUAUGCACUGUGGACAUGCUUUGGUAGUACCUAACCUGCUAACUACCAUCAGGUGCUAAUGGCCUGGUACUCAGGGCUAUAUUGCUACAAUCAGGCCUGGUACUCAGGGCUAUAUUGCUACAAUUGCUACAAUCAGGUCCUAAUGGCCUAGUACUCAGGACUAUAUUGCUACCAUCAGGUCCUAAUGGCCUAGUACUCACGACUAUACUGCUACCAUCAGGUCCUAAUGGCCUGGUACUCAGGGCUAUAUUGCUACAAUGAGGUCCUAAUGACCUGGUACUCAGGGCUAUAUUGCUACAAUGAGGUCCUAAUGACCUUGUAUUCAGGGUUAUAUUGCUACCAUCAGGUCCUAAUGACCUGGUACUCAGGGCUAUAUUGUGUCUCCAUCAGGUCCUAAUGGCCUAUUACUCAGGGCUCUAUUGUUUCUCCAUUAGGUCCUAAUGGCCUGGUACUCAGGGUUCUAUUGUCCCUCCAUCAGGUCCUAAUGGCCUGUUACUCAGGGUUCUAUUGUCCCUCCAUCAGGUCCUAAUGGCCUGGUACUCAGGGCUCUAUUGUCCCUCCAUCAGGUCCUAAUGGCCUGGUACUCAGGGCUCUAUUGUCCCUCCAUCAGGUCCUAAUGGCCUGGUACUCAGGGC
rnacentral:lncRNA from 1 species